rnacentral:rRNA from 1 species
UACGUAGGGUGCGAGCGUUGUCCGGAAUUCUUGGGCGUAAAGAGCUCGUAGGCGGCUUGUCGCGUCGGAUGUGAAAGCCCGGGGCUUAACUCCGGGUCUGCAUUCGAUACGGGCAGGCUAGAGUUCGGUAGGGGAGAUCGGAAUUCCUGGUGUAGCGGUGAAAUGCGCAGAUAUCAGGAGGAACACCGAUGGCGAAGGCAGAUCUCUGGGCCGUAACUGACGCUGAGGAGCGAAAGCAUGGGGAGCGAACAGG